AAGAAAAUAUAAGUGAAAAUAAAUAUGAUAGAGAGCCGACAAAUUUCCCACUAAAUAUUAAAUUCUGAAGGAAAAGAAAAGAAAAAAAGGGUUGCCGAGUUCCGAAACGGUAAGCUGAUGACGGUGUUCAUAUACUAGCAUAGGUCGGUUUCGUAACCCCCGAUGUGGUGGUCUGAUAUCGGGGCCGAUCUUGGAUCUUAAUCCCCCUCGCGAACUUGGAUUUCAAGACUGCGUUAGAUUGCUACAAGUAGCGGAGGAAUCGCCAUCCAGCGGCGGAGAUCGGCGAAGAAGAGCGUUCCUGAACUCCAAUUGGAAAGAGAAGGUACAUAUUGGCUGACGCCCUUCUCUGAUCUAUUUUUCGAUCCAUCUCUUUGCUCGCAUUUCUUCAUGAUCUCCUCUUUGAGCUCUCGUGAUCCUUCGGAUAAUGUUCUAUUGCGGAUUAAUCAUGCGCCAUUCUGGUUUGCUUCGAUCUUAUGGUUAGGCUGUAUCGCAGUAAGAUCUGUUUUCCGGGAGAAAUGGUUUCUGAAGUCGAUGAUGUAUGUCCAAGCUUUUCGUUGUCCGUAAGGGGGGCUAGUAGUGGCGUCGCGACCUUUGCUUAAAACCUGAGCACGCUGCUUCUGUCGAUGUUGCUCGAUCACAUUCUAAGUUUCUGCGAUUUGGACCAAACAGGAGUCAAAUUCCAUGACUUGAGCUCCAUUCAAAGGAUGAUCACUUCUUUUUUACCAUUGGGCUAACCGUCAAGAUUUCCACCAACGCCUCGUUGCUGAAGUGAUCAGACAAAUUCUUUGCUUUCCCGUAAAUGAGUGAGCAAAUAUAACUGAUUUUGGAGCAAUCGAUGAGUGAAAGGUGUUUGAUCUCCUCCGGACAAGUGUUAAUGUGUCUUCAUCUAUUUCUCCUUGACAUAUUUGCUUCCUUUAAAAGGAAAAAUAGUAGCUUCAAAGUUCUUCCAAUUUUCACCACCUUGUGCUUGCUUGCUUAUUUGAUUCAUUGUAUUUACAUCAACAGAAGUGCUGAGAAUGACAAGUACCAGUGCCUAAUCUGCAAAAGAGAACUACAGAAGAACCAUAAUCUCAUGAACCUUUGCAUUGACCUGGCCAAUGUGAAUCAUAACUUGCUAAAGUGUAAGUGGAAUGAAGCACACAGAGUGUCUCACUAGCAGAUUAUGUUUGAUCUAACUGCACUUUGCAUACAAUGCCAAGUCAUAUGCAUCAUUUAAAGAUGUUGAAGAACAUGUAAACCCCAAGGAAAAACAGUGUAGCAAGCAAUACACUGCAGUACACCAAGCAAACAAAUCGAUUACAGUAUUACAAGCUGAGACAACCGGUGCACAUCGAUGCCAAGUCAUAUGUAUCAAGCGCAGCGGUGCUCCAGGCAAUUACUAAGCAGCUCAUGUUCUUUUCACUCAGUGGGGAGCAAUGACCAUUACAUGUUAAUUUUUUUCGCGCAACUACAGUUGCCAGUGUGCAUGAUCUUGUAUGUGCUGCUAACAUUACAUGUUAAUUUUGUUCACAAAACUAUGUGCAUGAUCUUGAAUGUGCUGCUAACAUUACAUGUUAAUUUUGUUCACAAAACUAUGUUUGCCAGUGUAGUAGGUGAUUUUGUAUGUACUGCCAAAAAUAAUCCAUCACUGAUACCCAUUUUUAGUUUGAUUUA